rnacentral:rRNA from 1 species
GACGAACGCUGGCGGCGUGCUUAACACAUGCAAGUCGAACGAUGAAGCAAAGAAUCGAAGCUUCGGCAGAAAUUCAUUUCGGAUUAGUGGCAGACGGGUGAGUAACGCGUGAGCAACCUACCUCUUACAAAGGGAUAGCCUCGGGAAACCGGGAUUAAUACCAUAUAACAUUGCGACGAAGCAUUUCGAUGCAAUCAAAGCUACGGCGGUAAGAGAUGGGCUCGCGUCCCAUUAACCGGAUGGUGAGGUAACGGCUCACCAUAGGGACGAUGGGUAACCGGCCUGAGAGGGUGAACGGUCACACUGGAACUGAGACACGGUCCAGACUCCUACGGGAGGCAGCAGUGGGGAAUAUUGCACAAUGGAGGGAACUCUGAUGCAGCGACGCCGCGUGAGUGAUGAAGUAAUUCGUGUCGUAAAACUCUGUUCUAUGGGAAGAAAAUGACGGUACCAUAGGAGAAAGCUCCGGCUAAAUACGUG